GAAAUGCGAUAAGUAAUGUGAAUUGCAGAAUUCAGUGUAUCAUCGAAUCUUUGAACGCACAUUGCGCUCGCCAGCUAUUCUGGCGGGCAUGCCUGUCCGAGCGUCAUUUCAACCAUCAAGCCCCAGGCUUGCGUUGGGGGUCUGCGGCUGCCGCAGCCCCUGAAAAGCAGUGGCGGGCUCGCUGUCAUUCCGAGCGUAGUAGUUACAUCUCGCUCCGGGCGUGGCGGUGGGCACCUGCCGUGAAACACUCUUUCUAAGGUUGACCUCGGAUCAGGUAGGAAUACCCGCUGAACUUAA
rnacentral:misc_RNA from 1 species